UAGGGGUUUUGUUUGGCUCAGAUUGAACGCUGGCGGCAGGCCUAACACAUGCAAGUCGAGCGGUAGCACAGAGAGCUUGCUCUCGGGUGACGAGCGGCGGACGGGUGAGUAAUGUCUGGGAAACUGCCUGAUGGAGGGGGAUAACUACUGGAAACGGUAGCUAAUACCGCAUAAUGUCGCAAGACCAAAGUGGGGGACCUUCGGGCCUCAUGCCAUCAGAUGUGCCCAGAUGGGAUUAGCUAGUAGGUGGGGUAACGGCUCACCUAGGCGACGAUCCCUAGCUGGUCUGAGAGGAUGACCAGCCACACUGGAACUGAGACACGGUCCAGACUCCUACGGGAGGCAGCAGUGGGGAAUAUUGCACAAUGGGCGCAAGCCUGAUGCAGCCAUGCCGCGUGUGUGAAGAAGGCCUUCGGGUUGUAAAGCACUUUCAGCGGGGAGGAAGGCGUUAAGGUUAAUAACCUUGUCGAUUGACGUUACCCGCAGAAGAAGCACCGGCUAACUCCGUGCCAGCAGCCGCGGUAAUACGGAGGGUGCAAGCGUUAAUCGGAAUUACUGGGCGUAAAGCGCACGCAGGCGGUCUGUCAAGUCGGAUGUGAAAUCCCCGGGCUCAACCUGGGAACUGCAUUCGAAACUGGCAGGCUAGAGUCUUGUAGAGGGGGGUAGAAUUCCAGGUGUAGCGGUGAAAUGCGUAGAGAUCUGGAGGAAUACCGGUGGCGAAGGCGGCCCCCUGGACAAAGACUGACGCUCAGGUGCGAAAGCGUGGGGAGCAAACAGGAUUAGAUACCCUGGUAGUCCACGCCGUAAACGAUGUCGAUUUGGAGGUUGUGCCCUUGAGGCGUGGCUUCCGGAGCUAACGCGUUAAAUCGACCGCCUGGGGAGUACGGCCGCAAGGUUAAAACUCAAAUGAAUUGACGGGGGCCCGCACAAGCGGUGGAGCAUGUGGUUUAAUUCGAUGCAACGCGAAGAACCUUACCUGGUCUUGACAUCCACAGAACUUAGCAGAGAUGCUUUGGUGCCUUCGGGAACUGUGAGACAGGUGCUGCAUGGCUGUCGUCAGCUCGUGUUGUGAAAUGUUGGGUUAAGUCCCGCAACGAGCGCAACCCUUAUCCUUUGUUGCCAGCGGUUCGGCCGGGAACUCAAAGGAGACUGCCAGUGAUAAACUGGAGGAAGGUGGGGAUGACGUCAAGUCAUCAUGGCCCUUACGACCAGGGCUACACACGUGCUACAAUGGCAUAUACAAAGAGAAGCGACCUCGCGAGAGCAAGCGGACCUCAUAAAGUAUGUCGUAGUCCGGAUUGGAGUCUGCAACUCGACUCCAUGAAGUCGGAAUCGCUAGUAAUCGUAGAUCAGAAUGCUACGGUGAAUACGUUCCCGGGCCUUGUACACACCGCCCGUCACACCAUGGGAGUGGGUUGCAAAAGAAGUAGGUAGCUUAACCUUCGGGAGGGCGCUUACCACUUUGUGAUUCAUGACUGGGGUGAAGUCGUAACAG
rnacentral:rRNA from 1 species